GGCCGGUCCACGCUGGGUGACCCAUGUGACCUGCUGCUUAGCAAUUCCUUGUCACCAUCUUCCCUUCUCAGCCUCUUUUUUCAUGCUAACAGGCAUAAAUGAAAUGAUAAAAGUUUGAGCUCUUCUCGUGGAAUUCUCGUGAUACAGAUAUGUGCUACAUGUUCAUCAUCUCGUUGGUCUUCACCAUGAUAACUGUGGAGUAAGAAUUAUAAGCAGGUCACAGAUUAGGGACUUGAGAUUGACAGUUUGGCUUCCCUGUUCUGGGUGGCAAAGCCUGUGGAGUACUCACCUACCUGCUGCAUGAAGGCAGCAUGGAGGGACUGUGGUGGAUUAUCUGCAAAGAUGGCCAAAAUUCUCUCAUCCCUGCAGGCACAUACAAGGUUGUUGCAUGGCAUAAGUAAAGUGACAGUUAUAGGAUACAUGCAACUUUUCAGUGACAAAGAUCUGUGCAGCAUCGACAGUACUGCCUAAUGAGGUUUCACCAUAAUGAAGUAUCACAACCAGUUUACAGACCAGAAAACUGAGACACAGGAAGGGGUGGUGACUUGAGCAAGGUGCAUCAGCUGGAAAUUGAAGUAUACAGAAUGCUUAUUUGGUCUACUCAGUAUCAUCCUAAAUGUAUGUACCAAUGCUUAGGAGUUUGCAGUUCACCCGCAAACCUCAGCGAUCCAAGCUCCCCUGGAUGACCAUCACUCACCAAGAAAAGAGCAAUAACAGGACCUGUUUUGCUAAUCCAGGACUGUUCUCCAGCACUAACUCUAAAUAAUCCCUUCUGCUAGAGUCCACUUUCUGGAACCUGUUGCCUCCGUUUUCAACGUUUCCCAAACUUGGUCCGUUGUGUGAGCUGGCUGAUAAAAGUUCCAGGGAGAAGACAUCUUACUCUUAUUGGAUCAUGCACAGUGCCUGAAGCAUUCUGUUGCAUGUAGAAGUCAGUAAAUUGCAGAUGUAAGAUUCAAAACCAGACUUCACAUCUACCGACUUCAGUGACCCUGAAAUUUGUUCACAGAGAGCAUUUAACAUAACUGUCUUCAUCAUCUCCUUCUCUACAUUAAAAAUUAUGGAGGCCUUACAAACUGGUAGAAGAUGCAUAACAGAAGAGCUUAUGAAGUUAAAGAUGACAGCAUAGCAGCACUGUUCACAAAGACGUUAUUGGUGAUUCAAUCUUGAGUCAUGAAAAGUCAACCUUGAGCCACAAAAAGUCAACCUUGAGCCAAGCAGAUUGGAGAGUCAUACAUGCCAUUCCUGGGACCAUCAAAAAUGGCAGAGGUCACACAAAAAGGCAAAACUUUUAAGAGGUGUUUUAAACGUCGUAUGGGCCAAAGAGAAGCUGGAUUUCCUAUUGGAGUCACCUGUAACACACGUGUGACGAAAUUGGCCUGUGAGGACAAGGCAGUGAGCAGAGAGGACAGCAGUCCUUAUGAGAUCAAGCUCUAAGGUAUCCUAGACACAUUUGGAGAAUUCACCUGAGCUACAGGAUGUGAAAAGUUGCUAAAACUGCUGUGAGAUUCUGGCUAAGAAAGUUUCAUGAGAAGUUUUACAGAAAAAUGUGAACGGAAGACAGAACUAGAUAUAAAUUUGAAUGGUAAUCUAAAUAAAAGACAUUUUUCAUU
ensembl:lncRNA MIR7515HG MIR7515 host gene